rnacentral:rRNA from 1 species
GACGAACGCUGGCGGCGUGCUUAACACAUGCAAGUCGAACGAGUGGCGAACGGGCGAGUAACACGUGCGUAACCUGCCCCCUCUCCUGGAUAACUGCUUGAAAGGGUAGCUAAUACGGGAUAGUGGGGGAUGGGCUCGCGGCCUAUCAGCGUGUUGGGGGGGUGAGGGCCUACCAAGGCGGUGACGGGUGGCCGGCCGGGGAGGGUGGGGGCGCGCGUGGGGACAGAGACACCGACCGGACUCCUACGGUAGGCAGCAGCGGGGAGUAUUGCACAGUGGGCGCAAGCCUGAUGCAGCGACGCCGCGUGAGGGAUGGAGUACUUCGGGUUGUAAACCUCUUUCGCCAGUGAAGCGGUAGCUGGAUAAGAAGCGCCGGCUAACUACGUGCCAGCAGCCGCGGUAAUAC